rnacentral:rRNA from 1 species
GAUGAACGCUGGCGGCGUGCCUAAUACAUGCAAGUCGAGCGAACGGACGAGAAGCUUGCUUCUCUGAUGUUAGCGGCGGACGGGUGAGUAACACGUGGAUAACCUACCUAUAAGACUGGGAUAACUUCGGGAAACCGGAGCUAAUACCGGAUAAUAUUUUGAACCGCAUGGUUCAAAAGUGAAAGACGGUCUUGCUGUCACUUAUAGAUGGAUCCGCGCUGCAUUAGCUAGUUGGUAAGGUAACGGCUCACCAAGGCAACGAUGCAUAGCCGACCUGAGAGGGUGAUCGGCCACACUGGAACUGAGACACGGUCCAGACUCCUACGGGAGGCAGCAGUAGGGAAUCUUCCGCAAUGGGCGAAAGCCUGACGGAGCAACGCCGCGUGAGUGAUGAAGGUCUUCGGAUCGUAAAACUCUGUUAUUAGGGAAGAACAUAUGUGUAAGUAACUGUGCACAUCCUGACGGUACCUAAUCAGAAAGCCACGGCUAACUACGUG